rnacentral:rRNA from 1 species
AGAUUGAACGCUGGCGGCAGGCCUAACACAUGCAAGUCGAGCGGCAGCACGGGUACUUGUACCUGGUGGCGAGCGGCGGACGGGUGAGUAAUGCCUAGGAAUCUGCCUGAUAGUGGGGGAUAACGCUCGGAAACGGACGCUAAUACCGCAUACGUCCUACGGGAGAAAGCAGGGGACCUUCGGGCCUUGCGCUAUCAGAUGAGCCUAGGUCGGAUUAGCUAGUUGGUGGGGUAAUGGCUCACCGAGGCGACGAUCCGUAACUGGUCUGAGAGGAUGAUCAGUCACACUGGAACUGAGACACGGUCCAGACUCCUACGGGAGCAGCAGGUGGGAA